rnacentral:rRNA from 1 species
UUCCGGUUGAUCCUGCCGGACCUCACUGCUGUCGAGGUGGGACUAAGCCAUGCUAGUCGUACGCCCAGAACCAUGUCUGGGAGUGGCGCACUGCUCAGUAACACGUAGCUAACCUGCCCUUAGGACGGGUACAACCCCGAGAAAUUGGGGCUAAUACCCGAUAGGUGUGAUGUCCUGGAAUGGUAUCACGCCCAAAGGUCCCAACAGCAUGUUGUUGUUACGCCUAAGGAUGGGGCUGCGGCCGAUCAGGCAGUUGGUGAGGUAACGGCUCACCAAACCUUUGACCGGUACGGGCCAUGAGAGUGGUAGCCCGGAGAUGGAUACUGAGACAAGGAUCCAGGCCCUACGGGGCGCAGCAGGCGCGAAACCUCCUCAAUGCACUCACGUGCGAAGGGGUUACCUCGAGUGCCAUCUGAAGAAGGUGGCUUUUCCUUGGUCUAAAUAGCCUUGGGAAUAAGAGGGGGGCAAGACUGGUGUCAGCCGCCGCGGUAACACCAGCCCCUCGAGUGGUGGGGAUGAUUAUUUGGCCUAAAGCGUCCGUAGCCGGCCGAGUAAGUUUCCCGUUAAAUCCAGCGUCUCAAGCGUUGGACUGCGGGAAAUACUGCCCGGCUAGAGAGUGGGAGAGGUAAGCGGUAUUCUGGGGGUAGGGGCGAAAUCCUUUGAUCCCCGGAGGACCACCAGUGGCGAAGGCUGCUUACUAGAACACGUCUGACGGUCAGGGACGAAAGCUGGGGUAGCGAACCGGAUUAGAUACCCGGGUAGUCCCAGCUGUAAACGAUGCACACUAGGUGUUGGGUCGGCCACGCGCCGCCCCAGUGCCGCAGGGAAGCCGUUAAGCGUGCCGCCUGGGGAGUACGGCCGCAAGGCUGAAACUUAAAGGAAUUGGCGGGGGAGCACCACCAGGCGUGAAGCCUGCGGUUUAAUUGGAUUCAACGCCGGAA